ACAAUGGAUGUGACAAUGGGAUGCGACACCGAAAGGUGAAGCUAAUCCCCAAACCCAGUCUCAGUUCAGAUCGAGGGCUGCAACUCGCCCUCGUGAAGCCGAAAUCCCUAGUAGUCGCUGGUUAGCAA
rnacentral:rRNA from 1 species